CCGCCAUACUCCAUGCUGUUUAGCGGAUUUGCGGCCUGAGACAGCCAUCAUAACCACACAAUAUGCAAGUUUUUUCUUCUGCAGGUGUUAACCUGUCAUCAGCCACAAUCUCAGGACCAUCGCUUGGAUACACAGCAUCCCAUUGCAUUGGCAAAACUACCGAUGUUAACCGAGUUACGGAUCUCUCUUUUUUCCCCUAUCUUUAAAUGUCCUCGUGUACGCCCAUGUGAAUGUGGGUGUAUUCACGAGGACACCCUUUUUACCCUAUCCCGUCUGGUUGUAAUUUAACUCUUCAGCGGAUGGAUGGAGCAACUGACGAAGAUGCCUGGCUGUAUUUCCCAGG